AUGCCAUAUCAUCAGAACCAGUAAAAAGAGUAUUUUUCAGAAAGCGAAAGAAGAAGAAACAAAAUUAAACAAAACAAGAAAAACUUUUACUUUAAUAAAAUAAGGGAUAACAAGGUUCACACUUUUGCUAAAAGUAAAACAAAAUUUGGAUCACACCCUAGAAUAAUCCGGAAAACAAGAAGGAAAAUCAGAGCCCACUACCAAGACUCCCUCCAACUGGCCCAGACAUGAAACAUUUUUCCAAUUAACAAGCACGGCAAUUUUAGCCAUUAAGCUUCGCAUCCAUAUUGCCGGACGAUUAUUUGCUUCAAGAUCUUCAGAUUUAGUCAGUAUAUUCUCGUACCCCAUGUCACCGGGCAUCAUCCCCACAAAGUGUGCAUCAUCAAGUUUAUGUAAAGGAUUCAGUGUAAUAUUCUGGGUGUCAGUGUCUUGAAUCAAAUUUCCUGGAUCUUAUGCCUCCAGUUACCACAAACCGAUCACUCCAGCUUUCUCAACAUUCAAAACACGACAUGUUAGAAUGGACUUAUUAACAGCAUCUUUUGCCUUCUUUUUUUUCAUUUUUUCUUUUUUUCAAUUUUUUUUCAUUUUAUUUUUUUAUUUUUUGUGGUCGAAUCUUAUGGAGAUUGCCUACGUAUCAUGACCCCGCAUGAAUCAGACCUUGCGUAGUUCGGACAUGAUUACAACAGUUUAAAAACUGACUAUACUAACAGACUUCGACGAAAAGACGACCUACAUACUUGAAAAUCAAAACAUACGACACCCUAAGCCGAAGAAUUACAAACUCAAACACAAAUGGCAUGCUUCCUUUCCCUGUUUGCCAAUUUCAACCAAAUGGUUAUCUUUGCAAAUGUGGCCCCUUCCCAAUUUCACGUGAAUUUUGAUGUUGUGGAGGAUUUUUUUAUGACACUACAAACUGGUCCAUUCUUUUAUCAAAAUAGCCUUUCGACAACUGAAUGAUACUCUAAGGCUAUCUGGCAAGAAUGGUUUAAUACAUUGCCGAAGCUGGCUCGACUUAUUUUUGACUAAAAAUUUUAAUGGCAAUCACUUGUCCCCUAACUUUUUUUCAAAUUAAAAUAAAAGGCCAAGUUUUGCAAAGACGGCCUUUCAGCACUUGGGGGACAAAGAUUUUAAGGCUGUGUGGGUCAGCUGGCCAAAAUUUAAAAAAACAUGACCCAAAGGUGGCUGUUUAUGCAAAAUCAACCUUCCGGGGCCCCAUUCAAGAACAUUCUACUAUUUUUGAUUAAAAACAGCAUCACCCAUCUUAUUUAUGACGAAAAUAAAAACUUUGAUAUUUUUUGCAAAGGGAAUGUUGAACCCGAUGGGGGUUGCCUACAUAUCUCACACCUUGUGAGAAUCAAACCAGCAUAGUUCGCCCAAGAAACCGAACUAUUUUAAAACAUGACUCUUUUCACUUUUAUUUUUUGUCAUUUAAUAAACAAAUUAAAACUAUAUUUAGAAACAAGACUCUUUUUUUCCUUUUUCUUUUUUCAACAAACAAUAAAACAACCUAUUUUUCUAAACUAGAAAUAAAAGACUUUUUUUUUCAGCAAACAAUUUUCCAAAAAUGAAAGACUUUUUUUUCUCUAUUUUUCCGUUUCUUUUAGUAAAAUAGAAUAUUUAAAAAUAAAAAAUUUUACUUUUUUUUUUCAAAAUUUCGACAGAAUUUCGCCAGUACUUGGACAUAAGAGACUCUCUAUCUCUAUCUCUCUCUCUCUCUCUCUCUCUCUCUCUCUCUCUCUCUCUCUCUCUCUCUAGAUUAAUCCUCUAACUCUCCAAAUGCUAUUUUUCUUUUUCUCAAUUUUCAAAUAUUCCCGAGAUUCAGAAGCCGGUCAACAUGCGGGUCCGAAACAAAUAAAUGCCCAUAACACAAGUAGGAUGCAUCAAGAUGGUCUUUUCUAUUUCUGGUUGCUAUUCCUAGAUGGACCCAACCCCUGUGUUGAGUCCCCUAAGUCAACAAUGCACAUGAUGCAGAUAAGCGUUCCUACUAGGGAUCCGGCAUGAAGUCGAGUUAUCCUAAGUUCAAAACCUGGGUGUUUGUUCUAGACCUGGCUUACCCGAGUGGACAGCUCGAGCCAAAGAGGAGGCGGCAAUCCUUGAAUACAAAAGCUUCGCCAACUUUGCGACUUAUCCAAACCUCGUUCAAAAUUGGAAUUUGACACUAGAUAGAAAAUAAGUCGUACACGGUACACCCUUCUUCACAAUUCAGAAGGCUCAGAGAGGAAAUGGAUUACGACACAGUUUAUAUACAGUUCACGUAAUAUCAAAACGGUAAAAACAAUCAAUUAGCACAUUAAGCACAUAUCAUGUAACAGAAUCAGAUAAAGCCAAACACAACAAGUGUUCUAAGCUCGAAUUCUGAACCUUGAACAAAACGUUCUGGGUUCUCUUCCCAGCAUAAUCGCUAGAGCUGUCACACCUCCUUUUUCACAUGGGGGGUGAAGAGGAGUUUUUUCCAAUUAAAGGACAAUCGGAAUGGAAUUUAUUUAAAAGAUUCAGAGUCGCCACUUGGGAGAUUUAUGGUGUCCCAAGUCACCGGUUGGAUCCCGAACCGAGAAGGUGUUAGGCAUUACUGGGAGAAAGUGUUAGGUAUUCCCGAGUUCCGUGGUUCUAGCAUGGUCGCUCAACUGUUGCAUUUAGCUUUUAUCCUAUUUUAUUACAUGAAGAACCUAUGUGCCAAUUUUACUUUUUACCGCUUUUAUUUAAUAUAUAUUUAUUUGAAAAAAUGAACGUCGUUUAAAGUGUGAUUUCGGAUUGUGCUGCCGAAGCCCGCAAUCCUAGGAAAACUCUAUCCGAUGUUUCAGAAUUUGGAUUUGGGGCGCAUAAAAUGCCCACCCUAGUUAAGGGAAGAUAACGCUAUUAAGUACGCAUCUAAAGAUGCUAACGCGUUAUUAUUUUUUAGAAGACCGUGAAAUUUGCUAAACGGCCCAUUCCGGAGUCUAAGAAUUUUAAUAUACACACUUAUUGAGGGCCCCGCAACUUAUAAGUUUUUAUUUUGGCGAGGCACGCCUCCUUUAUUUUAAGGAUAUCCUAAACUGACUAUAUUUCUAUUAAACUUGUCUCUAAAAUAAAAGCGAGAAAAAUCCCAAUUAAUUACAUGCUUUAAAAUAUAUAAAAAAACGUAACACACUAAUUGCCAGAUUAAGGCAUAUAUUAAUGGAAAAGAAUUUUACUAAAAAAAUAUUUCAAAAAUAUAAAUAAACAAAAAAAAAUUCAAAAUAAUAAAUAAAAUACGAAAAUCGACAACUAAUAUUCAAAAGAAAUCAAUUAUAGAUAGAUUAAAUCCCGCACUGUUAUAUGAAUAAACCAUUAAUUAUUUACAACUAUUUAAAAUUAAAAUCAACCUUAAUUAUUAAUGUUUAUUCGAAAGUUUAUUAAAUCUAAACGUUAAACCAUCUUGCUUGAACUCAAAUCAUGCCUAUUAAAUUAACAUUAUCCCUUGCUACAUCUUGAUCCUACAAAAUUAAUAACCAACUAUAUUUCUCUAAUACUUGCGGAUCUUUGUUACUAACAAGAUUCAAAAAUCACCAAAUUCAAAUUACUUCUAUUCCAAUAUUCGCAAGUUCAGAGCUAGAUCUUACCAACCAAAUAAGUUAAAUCGAUUCUCCAUAUUCGCUAUUUACCAAUUUGAAUUGAAGGUGAUUCCAUAUUACCUUAUAUAUGUAAAAGACGACUAAGGAUGAAAUCUAGUUAUCGAUCUACUAACGACAUGUUCAUUCCUACAAAUCACAUAACUAUAUUAAAUAUAUAAUUAAACAACUACAAAUUGCAGUUUUAAAACAAAUAAAGCUUCAGUUAAGUACAAACUACCUAAUGCAUUUCUGUUGAAUUAUAAACCAAAAAUUACAGAACUAAUUAUCAUUUUAUCUAUUAAUCUAGAAGUACAAUAUUUCAUAAUAAAAAGGUCUUCACAUUUCAACUCAUGCUCAACUGCGCAGUUACACCAGUAUUAAACUCAAGUGAAUACCUGGAUAAAAGAAAUAGGACAGGUGUCAACUACACAGUUACACAAGUAUUUAAAUCAAGUGAAUACCUUGAUUAGAGAAGUAGGACAGGAGAAGAAAAGGAUCAGCAGUAACAAAGCAACAAUAGCAAAUAGCAACAGCAGUAGCAAAUUGAACACCCAGUGACAGAUUUUAAAACCAACAGAGAUCAUUCCACAUCCAAUAAACAGAUUCAAAAAUAAUCCAACAGCAACACCAAUAUCAGAAACCCAANN
rnacentral:lncRNA from 1 species